rnacentral:rRNA from 1 species
AAACGUGCCUGCGGUCGAGAUUCCUACGGGAGGCAGCAGUGGGGAAUUUUCCGCAAUGGGCGAAAGCCUGACGGAGCAAUACCGCGUGAGGGAAGACUGCCUAUGGGUUGUAAACCUCUUUUUUCAGGGAGGAAUCAAUGACGUGUACCUGAAGAAUAAGCAUCGGCUAACUCCGUGCCAGCAGCCGCGGUAAGACGGAGGAUGCAAGUGUUAUCCGGAAUCACUGGGCGUAAAGCGUCUGUAGGUGGUUUAAUAAGUCAACUGUUAAAUCUUGAGGCUCAACUUCAAAAUCGCAGUCGAAACUAUUAGACUAGAGUAUAGUAGAGGUAAAGGGAAUUUCCAGUGGAGCGGUGAAAUGCGUAGAUAUUGGAAAGAACACCGAUGGCGAAAGCACUUUACUGGGCUACUACUAACACUCAGAGACGAAAGCUAGGGUAGCAAAUGGGAUUAGAUACCCCAGUAGUCCUAGCCGUAAACAAUGGAUACUAGAUGUUGAACAGAUCGACCUGUGCAGUAUCAAAGCUAACGCGUUAAGUAUCCCGCCUGGGAAGUAUGCUCGCAAGAGUGAAACUCAAAUGAAUUGACGG